GAGAAACUCCUUGCAGUUGGCCUUGGGAAGCUGGGGAGGACUUGAAACUUCUAAGUGGCCCUGGGAGCAACCGGAGGUGGGGUGGGCCAGUGCCUGUAGGCCUGGGCCUGCCUGGCUGAGGAUCCCAGCUGGACUACUGCCUUGCUGUCUACAAAUGAUGGAGCCCUUCCAGUCUCAGCUUCCUCACAAGUAAAAUGCAGACGGCAAUGCCUCUUUCCAGUGACGUUGUGAGGAUUCGAUGGGAAGUUUCAUGAAAGCACUUAGCAGGGUUUUUGUUGAGUGCUCAGAAGGUGAUAGUUUGGUGUUGCUAGGGGAACAGAAGCCUGGGCUGAGAACAGGCCGUGGAGAGUCACAAAUGGUCUUCAGCCGUCGGAAGGCACUGUUAGAUUUACUCUUCACAAAGAACAUUUUGGGACAUCUUGGUGUACGGAUUAGAAGGAAGGACAGAAGCUGGUGAGCUGUGGGCCACAGGGUCAGCAGGGAGGAUACUGAAGCAGUCCACAGACGCAGCUGUGAGGGUGUCCUGGAGCUGGGGAGAGGGAGAGGAGUGGAUUAGAGACGUGUUUGGAAAGUGUUAAUAAGAUAGGCAGGGCUGAGGGGAGAGAACAAGAGAGGGAGAAGGGGGUAGAUUUUGAUGAGGAGGUGACGGCAGUGACAGUGACUGAGAGGAGCAAUAAAGCCAGGAGCAGGCUGUGGGAAGAGGGAGUGGCUUCCCUCAGAAGAGGCGCCGCCUCCCUAGCAGUGAGCAAAUGUGUUUAGGAACAUGUUCUUCCUCCCAAUCCAGAGACGGAUUGCUGAGAUGAUUCCUGCUUUCCGGCUCCCCGACACCCGCUGUUCUUUAGAUCCGCUCAGCGGCGCUUUUUCCUGUGCCACGUGCCCAGAUCUGAGCGAGGCUUGGGAAGACGCGAACGGGCUGUAAAAUCUGUCCCCAGAACUGGAGAGCACUUUGGCAAAGGAGUGUGAGUUUUGGGGAAGCUCAAGGAAGAGGUACCAGGUAGAGAGAGGGCCAGGGCUGAGUUCACGGGCUCUUUCUAAAUGGAAAUGUCUCACAUUCAGCUGUUGUCUGCCUUUGAGUCACACAGAACCACUUGCAGGAAGAACUCUAGAGAAUUUGGGAAGAAAGGGGGAGAGGACAGACAAAAGAUGCAUUUUUCUUUCAAGAAGCAGGAAAAUGUAAGGAAAAUUGAAGGUGUUCUCAAGUGUGUCUGCUGCUGCCUGACACAGGUUAACCCCGUCGCAGGUCACUCCGCUCUGUUAAUUGCAUCCUAACCUUCCUCGGCUCUUCGGCAGCGAAAUCGCAGCAGAGGAGAUGGAGCAGCUUCGUGCGCAUUGCUCAUUUGCGCCAACGUGAAAAGAACUGCCAGGAUGCCCAGGACACCAGCUCCCUGGCUUCUGCGGUGCUUGCACAGUCCUGAAUCAGCCCGAGAGCUGUGGAUCUGCGUCCCCUGGCUGCAUAGCCGACUGCCGGCUCCAUGGAGGGGCCUGUGCCGGAGAACGCACAUGUUGACUUAUUUCUUCAGUCUAGGCCUUUCUUGGCCCCCUUGGUUAUUCAUUCUAGAUGAUACAACUCUUAUUUCAGUUCAAAUGUCUCACGGAAGAGGCAUUGAAGACAGAGUGGAUGCCCGUGUUUGUUGGCAUUCCUGUGGGUGCGGACAUUCCAGUCACAGAACAGCAGCUCUACAUCUAGGAGGCUCCUGAAGAACCCAAACUAACUGUGAAAAUGCAAGUGAAAAGUCCUGCUCUGGUGUGUUACAGGUGCUGCUUCUAGAAAACCCCUUUAUUAGAAAGCAGCAUGAAACCAGCGUUGGGAUAUAAGAGGAUGUGCUUUGUUAAAAGAAAACCUCUUUCUAAUACUCCCAACCAAAGGGCCAGAGGUCUUGUCUAACUAAAUGCCACCUUUCUGUGAUUCUUGGAGCUUCAUCUUCAAAGACUGAGAGGAUCCUCCUUCAUCUGAAACCUCUCAGAAAGGGAAAGGUUGGUCGUGACUUGUCCCCUCAACAAGGAACUUCAGGCACUGCCAACUGUGUUCAGUAACCCUUCUCUGACAGGUGAAUACGUGAGGGGUCCUGGAACUAUUAUGCCAAUUCUCCAUGUUGGUGGGUUGCCAACGUUUACUUGUCUUAUUGAGAAAGGAAAGAAUGAGCAAAGAAAUCUUUCCUUUUCUUUCCAGGAUGCUCUCCAGAAAAAUUCCUGCUAGCUUGACUCAGAAGAAGAGCAGCCUGUGCAUGAGCCUGUUCCCCUUGAGAAUUUCCUCUUCCUUCAUUAGUGUCUUGCGAUGGCCACAUUCUCCAUUUCUGUGACUUCCUACCAGCUUUUCAAAUGCUUAACUACAAACUAAAGUUAUUCUGGCAUUGGCAAUGUGAUCUCAGGAUUCCCACAACUAGCUUUCCUCAAGAUGAAUAUUGGGACGAGUUUGGCAGCAGACUGUAUGAUAAGGAGCACUGGAAUGGGAGUCAGAAAGCAUUGUGAACCCUACAGGGCAAGUGACUUCACCUCUCUUAAUCUCAUUGUCAUCAACUGUAAGUGAGAGUGAAUGAAGGAUGCUCCCAACUGUCAAACCCUGUAAGUUAAGAAAACCUGUGCUCCAGAGGAGAACAUGAACAUUGGCAAAAAGGUAUUUAUACAUCCUUCACCAUAUUUUUGUAGAUGAGUCUGAAAGAAUUUUGAAUUCACCUAGCAAUUGCACUAUCCUGAUUUCAUAUGGAAAACACAGUUUCAAGAAGUUAACCACAAGGCUUGCACACUGGCUGGCUUCCAGCCUUCUCCUCACAGAGUAGAUUAACUAAUCCAGACAAUUACUGUCAAACAAAGGAGCAGGUUGGAAAUUCUUGGAGGAUUUUUUUUUUUUUUUGUACAGCUUAUAUAGUUAAAUUGAGAGACCUCAAGUGGAAUUGUUUUCAUGAAUAAUUUAAGUAACUAUUCUAUUUAUCUAGUGCUUGUCGGGUAAAAAUUUACAAAAAUUAUGAAAGUUGGAUCAACUGACCAAUUUGAAGGACAAACAUGAUUCCAGCUUUCUUUUACUUUAUUUUUUCCCCUAGGACCACAGCAAUUAGAAUAAUUUUAUCAUGAGUUUGAGCAAAUAAGUCAUCCAAUCCCAAACUGAAAGUAAUUGAAAAGUAAACCAUCACAACAUCCCACCUCAAACAGGUGUAUUGGGAAGCAGUGUGUGUAUAUAGCACAUCUUAUAAAAUGAAAUAGGCAGGGUACAAAAUUUCUGAAAACAGAAUCUCUCAACUAGGACCUUCCCCAUGUGUGUGCCAUUACCUUGAUAAAUUUGAGACUUGACCAGUGGCUCAAUAAAUUUGGAGAAAACAGAAACAAUUAAGUUCUCACUUCAGAUUCAUACUUUUUAAAUUUUCUUUUAUAUUUUCAAAUUUAUGGUCUUAAUGCAGGCUAGGUAUUGCAUUUUGACAAUGGAAUCUGAAACAGCUACAACUCUAGAUUUUGUAAAUUCUUCUUCACCAUAGCAGUGGCUUAGUUUUAACUGUGAUUACUGUCUCAUUGGUCAAACUGUUUUGACAGAAAGGACAUUUUAUUGAGAGGUUAGUCCCCAAAAGACAUGCUUUGGAGAUCUUUUUCAAAUGUUCAAAUUAUGGAUGGCUUAGUUUAUACUCUUUACCCCAAAAUGAAAAUUCUGGCAUUCUCAUUAGCCUUCUCACAAAGCAAGUCUUUAAAGCUUCCCCAACACAUGUGAAAACCGAAUUUUAUGAGGAUUCAAGACCAGCCAGGAGACUUUAGUAAAGACUAGAUUUCAGAACAGCAGAUCUUUAGUUGUGCAAAGGACAUUGCUAAACUUCUGGGUUGGAAGGUAUCCUGAUAUACCUAAUUCUAUUUAUGAAACUGCAUAUGUGCUUUGAAACUCUGUUUAGAUCCAGCUCUUUCAGUUAGAGAUGGAAACCAUAUGUGUGUCUAAGGCCCUUAUGUUUUGCCUUGGAGAGUCUUAGAUUUUGUUUUGAUUUCAAACUUGGCAUCAUUUUCAGAUUUGGAGGCAUCCUGGGUAUGUCCUUGACCCUCUGUGUCAUGCAGAUACAUUUUUGUUAUCCAUUAUUACUCUUCUUAGAUGAGUCUCAGGGCCAUAUGCUUAGAAAGGUGUUGUGCCUUUCAUUCUCAGAAAAGUUAUUCUAAGUAAAACAGAGAUCCAAAGAAAAUAUGUGGAACAUUCAGGCUCACAAUCUUGUACAUAGUAAAAUAGUUUUUUGUUUAUUGUUUAUUUGAAUUAAUCAGGUCUGCUUUUCCCCUUUAUUCCUCAUUUCUUUUGUGGGAAGUGGACUAAAGCUUCUGCUGCACCACGAACCCAAGAAUUGUAGACAUAUCCCAGUGGCCAGAUGGCUGACUACCCACCGAAUCUAUCUUCCCAUUCUCUCAAGACUUCCAGCUACAUCAAGCUUCUUGCUCUUUCCUGAAUACUCCAAGAUACUUAUUCCUCUGUGCCUUUUCACAUGCUAUUUCUUCUUGGUGUCAGAUCUUUGUACCUCUCUGUCAACUGGAAGACUGUCCUCAAACGACUUCCCACAAGAAACCUUUCCAGAGGGGUCACUAGCAGUGUGAGUCACUCCCUCACUUAUGCUGAUAACAUUUUGCACUUGCCUUCUUGGUGAUUCUGAACCUUAUUUAUGUGUGCCCAUAUCUGCCUUCCCAUGUAGAUUCUGCCCAGCACAGUUCCUGGCAUACAGGUAUAGAAUAAAUGCAUGAAGCUCAAUUCUGCCCUUUGAUCGAGGAAUAAGAAUGGUGAUACAUUUGUCUGGUUCAGAGGGGAGCAAACAUUUCCAAUACUACUCUUUUAUGGUCUCCACAGAACACUUUCUUACAGUUAAAACUCUGCAAUAGGCAAUCCUACAAGGUGGCAAUGGGAAGGAAGAAUGCCUCCUGUAUUCCAGUGAUCAUAUUAUUUUGUUAAAAAGCUCAAGUUGCUAAUGGUUGGAGCAAGAUGGCAGAAUAGAAGGCUCCACUGAUCAUCUCCCUGGCAAUUACACCAACUUAGCAACUAUCUACAAAAUAAAGCUCCUUUAUAAGAAUCAAAAAUCAGGUGAACACUCACAGUAUCUGGUUUUAACUUUCCAUUACUGAAAGAGGCACUGAAGAGGUAGAAAAGAGUCUUGAUUCACCAGUGCUACCCUUUCCCCAUCUCUUGACAG
rnacentral:lncRNA from 10 species